UACGGAGGAUCCAAGCGUUAUCCGGAUUUAUUGGGCUUAAAGGGCGCGUAGGCGGCCUAUUAAGUCAGGGGUGAAAGCCGGUAGCUUAACUAUCGCAGUGCCCUUGAUACUGAUGGGCUUGAAUAUACUAGAGGUAGGCGGAAUGUGACAAGUAGCGGUGAAAUGCAUAGAUAUGUCGCAGAACACCAAUUGCGAAGGCAGCUUACUAUGGUAUUAUUGACGCUGAGGCACGAAAGCGUGGGGAUCAAACAGG
rnacentral:rRNA from 1 species